AACGAACGCUGGCGGCGUGCCUAACACAUGCAAGUCGCGCGAGAAAAGGGGGCAACUCCUGAGUAAAGCGGCGAACGGGUGAGUAACACGUAGGUGAUCUACCCUCGAGUCCAGGAUAACCUACCGAAAGGUGGGCUAAUACCGGAUAUGACCACGGGAAUCUCGGUUCCUGCGGUGAAAGGUGGCCUCUGUCUUGCAAGCUACCGCUCGGAGAUGAGCCUGCGCGCCAUUAGCUAGUUGGUGGGGUAACGGCCCACCAAGGCUAUGAUGGCUAGCUGGUCUGAGAGGAUGGCCAGCCACACUGGGACUAGAAACACGGCCCAGACUCCUACGGGAGGCAGCAGUGGGGGAUAUUGCGCAAUGGGACGAAAGCCUGACGCAGCGACGCCGCGGUGGGUGA
rnacentral:rRNA from 1 species